AAUCAGGUGUCGUAAGACUCAAUAGAAAAGCCGGUAUAAGCCGGCGCGGUCCCGCCGCUGUAAGGACGAGUGAUACUGCAGGAAACGUCACUGUGUAGCCGUAGCUACAUGGGAAGGCGCAGUAGAGCCAUGAAGCCAAGCCAGAAGAACUGCCUGAUUGU
rnacentral:ncRNA from 1 species